rnacentral:tRNA from 1 species
CAUAGUGUGCCUGGGAAAAAAGGAUUAUUUUGAUAGAAUAAAUUACACAGGACCCCCCUCCUGUCUCUAUGA